rnacentral:lncRNA from 1 species
UAAUGACUAGCAGGAAAGGAGAUCAUAAUAUUUUAAGUCACCUAAGAAUGAGGGGGCGCAUGAGGAUGGCGACUCACGAAAAAGACUAAGCCGGCUUAAUAAUAAGCCACUAUUGGGUCAUGUAGAGACUACGAAGAUUGAAUUCUGCUAAGUGUUGGAAGAACAAUUUUCCGUCAAGACUACACAGCAGGAUGGAUCUAUCAACAGUGCAAAAAAGAA